rnacentral:rRNA from 1 species
ACGAGCGGCGAACGGGUGAGUAACACGUGGGUGAUCUGCCUCGCACUCUGGGAUAAGCCUGGGAAACUGGGUCUAAUACCGGAUAUGACCUUACAUCGCAUGGUGUUUGGUGGAAAGAUUUAUCGGUGCGAGAUGGGCCCGCGGCCUAUCAGCUUGUUGGUGGGGUAAUGGCCUACCAAGGCGACGACGGGUAGCCGGCCUGAGAGGGCGACCGGCCACACUGGGACUGAGACACGGCCCAGACUCCUACGGGAGGCAGCAGUGGGGAAUAUUGCACAAUGGGCGAAAGCCUGAUGCAGCGACGCCGCGUGAGGGAUGACGGCCUUCGGGUUGUAAACCUCUUUCGACAGGGACGAAGCGCAAGUGACGGUACCUGUAGAAGAAGCACCGGCCAACUACGUGCCAGCAGCCGCGGUAAUACGUAGGGUGCGAGCGUUGUCCGGAAUUACUGGGCGUAAAGAGCUUGUAGGCGGCUUGUCGCGUCGAUCGUGAAAACUUGGGGCUCAACCCCAAGCUUGCGGUCGAUACGGGCAGGCUUGAGUACUUCAGGGGAGACUGGAAUUCCUGGUGUAGCGGUGAAAUGCGCAGAUAUCAGGAGGAACACCGGUGGCGAA